UAGUCCCAUAGUAAAAAGUUU
rnacentral:piRNA from 1 species